ACAACCGUGCGAGGCCAAGGCAGCCAGCUAGGCCACAACCAAGGCAGCCAAGAUUGACCUUCACUAGGUAUUCUCAUCAGUUUUGCUGCCUGGCAAAAAAAGACUCCCUGCUUGUACCAACUCGCUACGAGAAGGACUGCCUCCAGCGAGCAGGGCUGGGUGCAGCUCGCCCGAGCUUCCAUUGUGACCCAUCCAGCUCGGCUCACUUCCAGGAAGUACUUCUCUCAACCUACCCCAAGUUAAGGGAUGGGGGGGGUUGAGCUGCUAAAGAUAAGGGGAAGUACAAGAAACCGCCAGUUGACUCCUUUACCUUGUCCCAACACGGGGUACACAGUCAACUAUCUCAGAGAUCCAAGCCUGGGAAUCAACACAACAACCAUCUAUAUUCGCCCUCUCCAGCGCAACUUGAACAUGGAGCAGGAAGUGAUGUGAGGGCUGACAAUGGACCUCAGACUAGAUGUAUUUUCUGUGGAGUUUCCAUUUACAGAAAUACGGCAGCACAAUGUGGCUU